rnacentral:rRNA from 1 species
AUUGAACGCUGGCGGCAGGCCUAACACAUGCAAGUCGAACGAGUGGCGGACGGGUGAGUAAUGUCUCGGAAAGUGCCCGAUGGCGGGGGAUAACUACUGGAAACGGUGGCUAAUACCGCAUACCAUCGGAUGUGCCCAUAUGGGAUUAGCUAGUAGGUGGGGUAAUGGCUCACCUAGGCAACGAUCCGUAGCUGGUCUGAGAGGAUGACCAGCCACACUGGGACUGAGACACGGCCCAGACUCCUACGGGAGGCAGCAGUGGGGAAUUUUGGACAAUGGGGGAAACCCUGAUGCAGCCAUCCCGCGUGUAUGAUGAAGGCCUUCGGGUUGUAAAGUACUUUUGGCAGAGAAGCGGUAUCUGCAGAAUAAGCACCGGCUAACUACGUGCCAGCAGCCGCGGUAAUAC